rnacentral:rRNA from 1 species
AUUGAACGCUGGCGGCAGGCCUAACACAUGCAAGCCGAGCGGUAGAGAGAAGCUUGCUUCACUUGAGAGCGGCGGACGGGUGAGUAAUGCCUAGGAAUCUGCCUGGUAGUGGGGGAUAACGUUCGGAAACGGACGCUAAUACCGCAUACCUCCUACGGGAGAAAGCAGGGGACCUUCGGGCCUUGCGCUAUCAGAUGAGCCUAGGUCGGAUUAGCUAGUUGGUGGGGUAAUGGCUCACCAAGGCGACGAUCCGUAACUGGUCUGAGAGGAUGAUCAGUCACACUGGUACUGAGACACGGUCCAGACUCCUACGGGAGGCAGCAGUGGGGAAUAUUGGACAAUGGGCGAAAGCCUGAUCCAGCCAUGCCGCGUGUGUGAAGAAGGUCUUCGGAUUGUAAAGCACUUUAAGUUGGGAGGAAGGGCAGUAAAUUAAUACUCUGCUGUUUUGACGUUACCGACAGAAUAAGCACCGGCUAACUCUGUGCCAGCCGCCGCCGUAA